GCAAGAUUAUCGGCGUCUUUUAAGAGGUCCUUAUUGCUGACUAGGAUAAAAAAUAAAUGAAAAAUACAAAUUACCUUAACAAACGUUCCUUAAUUAAGGACGAAACACAACGGUUCUUGUAAGACACGUGUCGCCUCUCUCUCUCUCUUUCCUCGACGACGCCGACGACUCCUCUCUCUCGUGAUCUCUCCCGAUGGUCUCUCCUCGAAAUCAAUCCGACGCCGCUCACCUCUCAGUUCGAAUCCGCCGGCAAACAAGUCCCCAAUUUCGACUAUAUCGCCACCGUUUCUGAAGCCAAGCCACAGGCCGCAACAAUCGUCGCGAUUGAUUUCCGCCACCGCUUCUCUCUGUUAUACUAUCUCUCUGUUAUACUAUCUCUAUGAUUUCCGCCAACGAUUUCCGCCACCGCUUCUCUCUGUUAUACUAUCUCUGCCACCAUGAACAGGUCAUCUUUUUUUCUUAUGUAUGUAUUAUACCAGCAAGUCUUUCACAAAUAUUUUUCGUCAGAUUUGUUUGCUAGUUCGGAUGGAAGAAUUAUGGAAGAGGUUUUUUAUAUCCACUUCCCCCUCUCUCUUGAAGCUUUUUCUUUUCGUUUGAAGCAGAGAGUGUUUGCUUUGAUGUAUACACUUUAACCUGCUUGCUUUGUCUCUCUCUGUGGCAGUCUUCAGAGCUGUAAAGAUGAGCUUGCUUCAUGUCAAGUGUUCUUACUACUCAUUAAUCUGUUUUUUUUUCUUCUUUUUAAUUUAUUUCUAUACUACAUCAGUGUUCUUUUUUGUUGUCUGACUUAUUUUGUUUGGUCACAGAGUGAGCUUGAAUCAGCAAAAGCAGAGAUUGAUAAGUGGAACUCAGCAUUUAAGAAAGAGUCCUUUGUACCUGCUAGAAAAUCUCCUGAACCUGAAUUUGUGAUUGACUACAUCCGAACUCUAAGAUCUUCCGAGAAGUUUUUUAAAGAGGAGGUUGGCAUUUGGCUAAUAAGUUUUGUGUUCUUUACUUCCUUUUUUCUUCAGUUGGAAAUUGCACAAAUGAAGGUAACAGUCUUAAUAAGUUCAUUGUACAAUGUUCAUACAUAUUCAAUGAUGUUUGUAAUUUUUUUACUAAGAGACCUCUAUAAGUCCUACCAAUAAUCAAAACUUUUGUGAUUGUCCUUAACCAUUGUCCUUAGCAUCACAAUAAUACUAAAAUAACCUAAGGACCAAAUUUUUGGUCCUACCAAUAAUGAUGCCCUAAUAAACAUAUUUUAUGACUUUUAAUAAUAGAGAUUCUUUGUCACAUUAUUUUAUUAUCUGAAAGUACUACACUCAAACUUCUUGCGUAUACUUGGUUUAUAAACCAACUGAUGUAAAUACUAUUGCACUGUUUUGUGUAUACUUGGUUUUGUAGACCUCUAUGAUUUUAAGCAUUUUCUUUGACUGAGGUUGUGCUGUGAAGCACUCUCCAGAAGACUCAGCAGACAUAGCGAAAUAAAACAACCCAAUCUUAAAAAGGUAAAGCAGGCAUUGCAUACAUCAAGAGGUAAUACACCAGCCAACUACCAGAAUAUAGUUACCAUAGAAUGCUUCUAGAGAUUAGAAGGUCCUUCUUCGGUGCUGUAUGCAAUUUUUGCAAAAGGCAUUGGUCAAGAAGGAGCAUCUACCUCCUCAGGGUACUGAACCGGAAUUUUCGGCACAAAAAAAAUUGAUCUUCAUUUGAACUUAGCAUGUUUAUUCUGUAUAAAAGACUCAACUGCCUCUACAGUUGUACAAACUAAAAAGACCAACCAAAACUGAAGGCUCUUGAAAUCAAAGAGACAAAACAAACAUGACGAAUAUAGAGCUUAUCAACAAUAGAAGCCAAGCCAAGUCAGCUGGCUUCUUUUCUGAACCUAUCAACUUCCCAAGAAUCACCGCUACAACUGCCAUAGUCCCAAACCCAACACAGAUGGUGAACACAACCACACUUUUCUUCUCCAUCCAUUCCAUCUUAUCUAAAACUUUCUCCAACCUUUCCAACACUUUCUCCUUCUCAUAACCAGCCUUCUCAACCUCUGUUUCCACUUUUAUUCUCCACUCUCUCAUCUCCGUGGUCUCUUCCUGCAUCCUCUCUUGACUCUCCUUCAUUCCAUCUAACUCUA